GAAAUAAAAACUAUAUUUCACGUUUACUUGUUACUAUUGAUAUUAUAUUGCCAGUGCUGGACUUUCAUUACUGUUGCUGUUAUAAUAAUCAUUAAAAAUGUGUUUCUACUUUUGUUUUGGAAUUUUACUUGGUUUUAUUAAUUUAAUUACCAUACCAAAGUUUUCAACCGGAAUGCCAUGCUCAGGUGGAUCAACUUCUAACAAUAUGUCAGAACAAGUAUUUAUAGUUGAGUAUCCCAUAGCAACUUUUUAUUCGAAUUUUUUGAGAUGGAAAAUAAUGAAUAUUUUACGUAAUAAUGAAAAUAUUAAUGAAUUUUAUGAUAAUACAGUGAAGUCACCUAUAUUUAAUGACGACAUGAGAGGUGAAUUGUCGCGGAUAAUUGAAGAGAUAGCUGAAUCAGAUGAUCAAACGAGCACAAUAAAUAAAUGUAUAUCUGAUAUACAUUCAUCUAUAAAACAAAAAGAACAAAGUUUAAAAGACGAAUUAAGUCAAGGUGAUAAAAAGAAUGAUGGCACCGUCACAAAAGAAUAUGCAAAACAAUGUCUUUUAAAUACUUCAUUCUUAGUAGAUCCUCUUAAUUCUGAACAAAUAUGUGACUUUGUAAUCGACAACAAUUUAAAUGACGAACAUCAAGUCGUUUACGAUAGUAUAAUUAGGAUGUAUAUUCGAAAGGCUUUUCUCAAAAUAUUACUCUUUGGUCAAGGAAAUUCGACGACUUUGUCAUUUUUAAGUAAAAAGUGAAUUUAGUAAUAUAAUUGUUCUCAAUGCGGUACUUAAUACAUAUAUGUUACAAGACAAAAAAAUAAAAAAAUUGUUUUAACUUUUGAAUAAUUUUAAUGGGAAUAUUUAAAACUUAUGUUCACCAACUUACACCCGGAUCUGCUUAAAAACUUUAUGGUUAAUAUGAAACAAUAUUUUUCGUCAAAUCGCAAUAAUUAGAAUGAUACAUAAAUACUAAUAAAUACUUGAAGUAGCUUCUACUCAUAGUUUAUAAAAAUAUAGUAAAACUUCAUUAAAACUUUUUGUUCCAUAAUAUAAUUAUUCAUAAAUGUUUAAAUUGUUGUAAAUAAAUUUAUGUUUUAUUUAUAACAUGUAUCAUA